CCUACGGGAGGCAGCAGUGGGGAAUAUUGGACAAUGGGGGCAACCCUGAUCCAGCCAUGCCGCGUGUGUGAAGAAGGCCCUCGGGUUGUAAAGCACUUUCAGUGAGGAAGAACGCCUGGUGGUUAAUACCCAUCAGGAAAGACAUCACUCACAGAAGAAGCACCGGCUAACUCCGUGCCAGCAGCCGCGGUAAUACGGAGGGUGCGAGCGUUAAUCGGAAUUACUGGGCGUAAAGCGCGCGUAGGUGGCUUGAUAAGCCGGUUGUGAAAGCCCCGGGCUCAACCUGGGAACGGCAUCCGGAACUGUCAAGCUAGAGUGCAGAAGAGGAAGGUAGAAUUCCUGGUGUAGCGGUGAAAUGCGUAGAGAUCGGGAGGAAUACCAGUGGCGAAGGCGGCCUUCUGGACUGACACUGACACUGAGGUGCGAAAGCGUGGGUAGCAAACAGGAUUAGAUACCCCAGUAGUC
rnacentral:rRNA from 1 species